CUGCAGCCACCGCCAGGACAAGCAGCAUGUGAAGACUCUGGGGGUGAUCCAUGCACGUCCCUCAAAUCAUCCUGAGUGAAGACAACCAGAUCCAGAAAGAGAAACAUGGUUUCUUUCAGAUUGAAACACUCCAUCCUGAAGGGAAGCUGCUUAAGACCAGAAGUAAGCUUCAGGAAGUUCCUGAAGCUGAUCACAUUCACUAGGUCCCUCUCUCCCCAAGAGUUUAUAAGCAAUAAAGAGUGCCGAGGGUCACUCUCAGAGAAAUGAAGCUGAAAGAAGACUCUCAGACAAGAGCAGCCAUUGGUAGAGGCAGAAACCAGCUAAAUUGCCUGAAGGAAGCAGAGGAGAGCAUAGUUACCUGGAAAAAGCAAAGACCAGCUAACAUGCCUCAGAAGAAGCUUAGACCAACUGGACUACCAGUAAAGGACACUUUCCAAUCUGCUGAGCUGCCUGGAAGUGGUUUAGUGUAAUCCAGAUUUCCAGUUGUGAGUUAUCACUCAUACUUUGGUGGUCCCCUAGUGAUUCAGCUGUCAUUGGAUCAUUUCUGUUCCUGUAAGU